rnacentral:rRNA from 1 species
UGAAAGAUUCCUGCACCCGUAUAUGGAGCGAAGGAGUGACGGAGACGGAUAGUGUGACCCUCUUAAUGGAUUGAGGGCGAAGCGAAGCGGCUGGUUACCAGGCAAAUCCGGUAACCAUAAGGCUAGAGCGUGACAGGUAAGCGAAAUCUUAGGAAAGUAGCGAAGCACAUGAUGACGGCUUCCAGGAAAAGCUUCUGGCAAUGCAUAUGCGGCCCGUACCAAAACCGACACAGGUGGGCAGGGAGAGAAUCCCGAGGUGAGCGAGAGAACUGUUGCCAAGGAACUCGGCAAAAUGACUCCGUAAGUUAGCGAGAAGGAGUGCUUAAGCAAUUAAGCCGCAGUGAAGAGGCCCAAGCGACUGUUUAACUAAAACACAGCUCUCUGCGAAGUCGCAAGACGAAGUAUAGGGGGUGACACCUGCCCGGUGCUGGAAGGUUAAGAGGAUCUGUUAAGAGCGAUCUGAAGCAGUGAUCCGAAGCCCCAGUGAACGGCGGCCGUAACAAUAACGGUCCUAAGGUAGCGAAAUUCCUUGUCAGGUAAGUUCUGACCCGCACGAAAGGUGUAUCGAUUUGGGCGCUGUCUCGGCAGCAGACUCGGUGAAAUCUUAGUACCUGUGAAAAUGCAGGUUACCCGCAACUAGACGGAAAGACCCCAUGGAGCUUUACUGCAGCCUGAUAUUGAAUUCUGGUCAUACAUGUACAGGACGUGGGAGACAAAGAGACGUGCACGCCAGUGUACGAGGAGUCGACGUUGGGAUACCACUCUUGUGUGACCGGGGUUCUAACCUGGUAUCGAGAACAGGUACGGGGAGAGUGUCAGGUAGGCAGUUUGACUGGGGCGGUCGCCUCCCAAAGAGUAACGGAGGCGCCCAAAGGUACGCUCAGAUUGGAUGGAAACCAAUCGUCGAGUGCAAUUGCAGAAGCGUGCUUGACUGUGAGACAGACAAGUCGAACAGGGACGAAAGUCGGGAAUAGUGAUCCGGCGGUGCCGAAUGGAAGGGCCGUCGCUCAACGGAUAAAAGCUACCCUGGGGAUAACAGGCUGAUCUCGCCCAAGAGUUCACAUCGACGGCGAGGUUUGGCACCUCGAUGUCGGCUCAUCGCAUCCUGGAGCUGGAUUCGGUUCCAAGGGUUGGGCUGUCCGCCCAUUAAAGCGGUACGCGAGCUGGGUUCAGAACGUCGUGAGACAGUUCGGUCCCUAUCUGUUGUGGGCGAAGGAGAUCUGCGGAGAGCUGUCCUCAGUACGAGAGGACCGGGAUGGACCUACCGCUGGUGCACCGGUUGUUCCGCCAGGGGCAUAGCCGGGUAGCUAAGUAGGGAAAGGAUAAGCGCUGAAAGCGUCUAAGCACGAAGCCUACUCCAAGAUGAGAUCUCCCAUUCGCAAGAAGUAAGACCCCUUAAAGACGAUAAGGUAGAUAGGCCAGGGAUGGAAGUGCAGUGAUGUACGGAGUUGACUGGUACUAAUCGGUCGAGGACU